rnacentral:lncRNA from 1 species
CAGUAACGUGGAGUUGUACAUCGAUUGUUUGUCUCUUUUCACGCGGUGGUUGAGCCGACACAAACGAAAUGCACGAAACGGUCCCGUUCUCUCGUGAAAAAGAGUACCUACCUAGAUAAAUAUUAAAUAUGGUAUCUAUAACCGUGGUUUUUACCGCAGACUAAAAAUUAUUUGUUUACAAAUAACUGAAAUAACCAAAGAAGACAAGAAGAGUCUGUUGCUCAACGUGGUUGUAAAAUAAAAAUUGUUUUGUUGCGAGGCAACACUGAUUGCACUGAAGCUCGUUAACAGACUUUAUGAAGAGUGUCGAUGUCGACUAUCGAGCAAAAGAAUAUUUAAAAAUAAAUAAAUAAAUAAUAUAGAAGAUAUUGUUAUACGUAAUACGUAUAAUGAAAAUAAAAAAAAGAUAAACUGUAAUGUAUACUAAUUACUAAUGUCUGUAACAGUUUUAUCCUUUCUAGUUUCUAAUUAUUAACAUAGACAUAAUAUUUGAAUAUAAUAUUGUCAAUAUUAAUUAUUAUUAUAUCUAGGUAACAUUUGACAACGAAACUUAACUAAUAGCAUGUAGAAGAAAACUUAAUCGAACGCGGAAACAAAAAGUCACAUCAACAAAAUGAUGAUUGGUAUUGGAUUAAAAUGGUUUAAGAAACUGAAUCAGAAUUUAUUUGGACCAAUAAGCGAAAACUUGUGUUGUUGAAUAUGAUGAUAGAAUGCGCAGAAACCUGUUGAUAACUUAGCUUUCAACUAUUACUAGCAUUAAUACUAAUAUUAAUUAUAAUAAUACUUUAUGAAGAAUUUGAAUAAUUUAUUUGCAUUUAAGUAUUGCAUAGGCAUAUGAGUAUGCUUUUGAUUCAGUUUCAUCUCAGUGAACGUCUUAAAACUAAUGUUUAUAUUACUGUUAUAUGGGAUUCUCUUAAUACAUAUUAAAAUAUUAAUGAAGCUGAUAAAUAGAAUACUAAGGAACAACAGUUUAAAAUAAAAACUUUGAAUUAUCCCAAACUCAAGAGUGGAUACAAUUAUUUGCUGAGCAAUAAACCUUAUUCAACUUCAAUAAUACAAAUACAGUUAACAAUUACCCGUGAAAGAUCUUUUUCUGCAAUGCGAAGAGUGAAGAAUUAAUCAACUUUGAACAAGCAUAUGACAUAAUUUUUUUAAAAAUCUAGUUUCAAUAUGUAUUAAAAGUGAAAUUACCAAUAACAUAAAUACUAAAAACAUUUGAAAUAAGUUUGC